GGACCUCCAUCUUAUCUGGAUUGAGUCUCAGUUUAUUGGCCCUCAUCCAGCCUAUUAUCUUGGCCAGGCACCGGUUCAGGACAGCCACUGCCUCACCUGGAUUAGAUGUAAAUGAGAGGUAAAGCUUGGUGUAAUCAGCGUACUGAUGAGUCCACAGCCCAAACCUCCUGAUGACCUCUCCCACUGGUUUCAUGUAGGUGUUAAAAAGCAUGGGGGACAAAAUAGAGCCCUGCCAUAGUCCCCCAGCACCACCUACUGGAGUCAGCCAGCCAGGUA